CGUUUGUCGAUCGUCCCAUUUGACUCCCUGCUCCCUCGUCGUACGACGGGUGGCGGCGCGCGGGCAUGGGUCGGUCUUGAUGGCGAAAUGACCGUUCCAGCACACGAGCGGUGAUGGGACUGCGUGCGUCGACGGGCUCCCUGCCACCGUGCAGCUGGCCGCCGUCGCCUCCUCCCUUUCAUUAUCCCUCUCCAGCCGUUGCGGCUGCGUGCCUCUGGAGUUGCCUGCGCGAUCUACCGGAUUUGUCAUGCGGAAAAGUGAGAUCUUUGCCCCACAAGCACACCCCCCCGCUCACUCUCUGCCCCCGCGCGGCAGUUGGAGCGGCUUCGCAACCGUUGCCCCCGAUGCUCGCUCGGAUGAUGGUGCGCCUUCGGGCUGUCGUCCUUCAUCAUCUCGUGCCUUUGGUGGUUUCGGUGAGCGCUCUCGGACCCGGCAAAUAAGCCUCCCGGCUGGGGGGCUGCGUCGCUCUCCCCUGCCGGGAACCCUCUUUAUCGGUUGGUCGCCCUCUGUUUGGAUGACUCUCGGCUCCUCGCCGCGCCCCCCCGCCACCAUCCCGCGCCUCGGCGUUGGACGGUGGUAUGGUGGGGUCGCGGCGCGUCGCGGACGAUG
rnacentral:misc_RNA from 1 species